CUUGAACGCUGGCGGUAUGCUUAACACAUGCAAGUCGAACGAUGAGAAAGAGCUUGCUCUUUCGAUUAGUGGCGGACGGGUGCGUAACGCGUAGGAAUCUACCUAUUAGUGGGGGACAAAUUAGGGAAAUUUAAGCUAAUACCGCAUACGCACUACGGGGGAAAGAAGGGGCUCGCAAGACCUUUUGCUAAUAGAUGAGCCGGCGUAGGAUCAGCUAGUUGGUGGGGUAAAGGCGCACCAAAGCGACGAUCCUUAACUGGUUUGAGAGAAUGAUCAGUCACACUGGAACUGAGACACGGUCCAGGCUCCUACGGGAGUCAGCAGUGGGGAAUAUUGGACAAUGGGCGAAAGCCUGAUCCAGCAAUACCGCGUGUGUGAAGAAGGCCUUAGGGUUGUAAAGCACUUUCAAUUGGAAGGAAAACCUCGAAGCUAAUACCUUCGAGUUUGACAUUACCUUUAGAAGAAGCACCGGCUAACUCCGUGCCAGCCGCCGCAGUAACAC
rnacentral:rRNA from 1 species